rnacentral:rRNA from 1 species
GAAUUCGGCAGAGAUGCCUUAGUGCCUUCGGGAACCGUGAGACAGGUGCUGCAUGGCUGUCGUCAGCUCGUGUUGUGAAAUGUUGGGUUAAGUCCCGCAACGAGCGCAACCCUUAUCCUUUGUUGCCAGCGGUCCGGCCGGGAACUCAAAGGAGACUGCCAGUGAUAAACUGGAGGAAGGUGGGGAUGACGUCAAGUCAUCAUGGCCCUUACGACCAGGGCUACACACGUGCUACAAUGGCAUAUACAAAGAGAAGCGACCUCGCGAGAGCAAGCGGACCUCAUAAAGUAUGUCGUAGUCCGGAUUGGAGUCUGCAACUCGACUCCAUGAAGUCGGAAUCGCUAGUAAUCGUGGAUCAGAAUGCCACGGUGAAUACGUUCCCGGGUCUUGGUACACACCG